rnacentral:rRNA from 200 species
GCGACCCCAGGAUGGGCGGGAU